UUGUUGUGCUCGUUGGAUGCAUUUGCGUGCGGAGUGCGCCGAGUGGGUCGAUGUCGCUGCCGGAAGGGCGUAUAGAGGACUCGGGUUUUCGGACUCGAGAAUCCUGUGCGUUCGGAUAGCAGGUGAUGUUGGCUCGCUGUUGUGGAGUGCGGGUGAAUUCGCGAUGGGCGUCGGUUGUGAGUUGUGGUUGCGGAUGGCACAUGUGUCUUCCGUUUCCGCGGCCUACGAUCGGCGUUCGUUGCCCCGGCACUCGACUCGGUGUAUAGUCGGUCACCCAUUCGACCCGUCUUGAAACACGGACCAAGGAGUUUAAGGUGUACGCGAGUCAUUGAGCUGCGAAACUCAAAGGCGUAAUGAAAGUGAGACAUUGGAUGUCGACGAUGUGAGCGUUGGGCGUUUCGACGUCCGGCGCGCAACAUCGCCCCGUGACUAGGACUUGUUCUGUUGCGGAGGUUGAGCGUACGCUUUGAGCCCC
rnacentral:rRNA from 1 species